GACGUAGGGGGCCAGCGUUGCUCGGAAUUACUGGGUGUAAAGGGUUCGUAGGCGGUGUGGCAAGUCGGGAGUGAAAUCUCUGGGCUCAACCCAGAGUCUGCUUCCGAAACUGCUGUGCUUGAGGACUGGAGAGGAGACUGGAAUUUACGGUGUAGCGGUGAAAUGCGUAGAUAUCGUAAGGAAGACCAGUGGCGAAGGCGGGUCUCUGGACAGUUCCUGACGCUGAGGCACGAAGGUCAGGGGAGCAAACGGG
rnacentral:rRNA from 1 species